ensembl:lncRNA
CCGCAAGCAGGCACAGAAUUUGACGCCUGGAGAGGCAGCUGGUCCUGGCUAGGACUCCUGAUUCUUCACAGAUGGAAACAAUUUCUCCCGGUGAACCUGCCGGAAUUCCCAGUGGACUCGCACUUCAGCUUUGCCCACUGGCGCAUUUAACCAAGGCCGCAUUUACCGCUUUGAGGCAAAUCUGAGUUUCAAAUGGAGCGGGACUUCUGGUUGCAGAAUGAGGUUCAUGAAAUUUUCAGGAAUUAAAGUUAGUCCUGAGGAAAGUUCAUGAAUGGCUAAUGCUGGACUGUGCCUCUCCAGGACAGUGUUGCAUAGAACUGGUUUUAGUAGACCUUCUUGUUUCAUGUGCAAUAACAAGAAAAAAGCUCGAAGGGAAGGAUUUCUACAUUUCACUAUAAAAUAUUUACUAAUUGGAAAAUACUACUUCACAGAACUGGAAAAAAAGUACUCUAAAGUUCAUAUGGAACCAAAAAAGAGCCUGCAUAGCCAAGACAAUCCUAAGCAAAAAGAACAAAGCUGGAGGCAUCACACUACCUGACUUCAAACUAUACUACAAGGCUACAGUAACAAAAACAGCAUAGUACUGGUGCCAAAACAGUUAUAUAGACCAAUGGAACAGAACAGAGGCCUCAGAAAUAACACCACACAUCUACAACUGUCUGAUCUUUGACAAACCUGACAAAAACAAGCAAUGGGGAAAGGAUUCCCUAUUUAAUAAAUGGUGCUGGAUAAACAGGCUAGCCAUAUGUAAAAAGCUGAAUCUGGAUUCCUUCCUUACACCUUGUACAAAAAUUAACUCAAGAUGGAUUAAAGACUUAAAUGUAAGGCCUAAAACCAUGAAAACCCUAGAAGAAAACCUAGGCAGUACCAUUCAGGACACAGGCAUGGGCAAAGACUUCAUGACAAAAACACCAAAAGCAAUGGCAACAAAAACCAAAAUUGACAAAUGAGAUCUAAUUAAACUGAAGAGCUUCUGCACAGCAAAAGAAACUAUCAUCAGAGUGAACAGGCAACCUACAGAAUGGGAGAAAAUUUUUGCAAUCUAUCCAUCUGACAAAGGGCUAAUAUCCAGAAUCUACAAAGAACUUCAACAAAUUUACAAGAAUAAAAAACCCCGUCAAAAAGUGGGCAAAGAAUAUGAAUGGACACUUCUCAAAAGAAGACAUUUAUGCAGCUAACAGACACAUGAGAAAAUGCCCAUCAUCACUGGUCAUCAGCGAAAUGCAAAUCAAAACCACAGUGAGAUACCAUCUCAUGCCAGUUAGAAUGGCGAUCAUUAAAAAGUCAGGAAACAACAUGCUGGAGAGGAUAUGGAGAAAUAGGAAUACUUUUACACUGUUGGCACAAGUGUAAAUUAGUUCAACCAUUGUGGAAGACGGUGUGGUGAUUCCUCAAGGAUCUAGAACUCGAAAUACCAUUUGAUCCAGCCAUCCCAUUACUGGGUAUAUGCCCAAAGGAUUAUAAAUGAUGCUACCAUAAAGACACAUGCACAUGUAUGUUUAUUGCGGCACUAUUCACAAUAGCAAAUAGUUGGAACCAACCUAAUGUCUAUCAGUGUUAUACUAGAUUAAGGAAGUGUGGCACAUAUACAACAUGGAAUACAAUGCAACCAUAAAAAAAGAUGAGUUCAUGUCCUUUGCAGGGACAUGGAUGAAGCUGGAAACCAUCAUUUUCAGCAAAGUGUCACAAGGGCAGAAAACCAAACACCGCAUGUUCUCACUCAUAGGUGGGAAUCGAACAAUGAGAACACAUGGACACAGGGCAGGGAACAUCACACACUGGGGCCUGUUUGGGGGUGGGGAGCUGGGGGAGGGAUAGCAUUAGGAGAAAUACCUAAUGUAAAUGAUGAGUUGAUGGCUGCAGCAAGCCAACAUGGCGCAUGUAUACCUAUGUAACAAACCUGCACGUUGUGCACAUGUACCCUAGAACCAAAGUAUAAUAAGAAAAAAACACAAAAUAAAUAAAAAGGCUUCUGGGUCACAUGAACUUUUCCAACAAC